UCUUCAUCCAUAGUCCUCCAUCACAAGGGUUUAAUAAAAAGAUAAAUAGACAAUAAAUAAAAAAUAAAAGCAAGUAAAAUCGAGAUUAUGUAAUUCAAAUUGAGUGGAAUUGCCUUUAAGAUUUGUGUUUAAUGGUAAAAAAAAAGGAGAAGGUUAAACUGCAGUGUUUAUUAUGAUGGGUUCUCCUAUGGAACGGAGAAUGACCCAGAAAUGUCAGAGGACGUCACUUCCUGUUUAUUCUACGACCGCUGGUGUGCUAGCCAUGCGGUACAUGAACCAUCAAAACAAUCGUGAUUUAAAGAUCUUCCCGGAUUCUAGGGGAUGGUGAUUACCGAGGACGUCCAGGAACUCUUUUAAGUCAUCCCUAGUACCUCCCCAGAUGCCAAAAAUGUCAUCAAGAUACCGCAAGUACCUCAAGGGCAAAGUUUUACAUUUUAAAUCAAAUCUCCCAUUAAAUUCAAAAUCAUUCCUGGUAAGGCUCAGCUCCAACAACUGGAGGAGGGCCCCGUCUGGCCGAGUGGAAUCUGGCCUUGAUGUCGUGCAGUCGCUAGUCCAAAGUCAACAACAACAGGUGUGUGUCCAUGAGAGACAAGAAGGUAGUUUGUUGUGUCUUCGCUGCACUGUCCUUUGGGAGAGUCUCCAAGCCAGGGAAACAAUCCAAGUUACAAUGUUUUAUAUGCCAGUGAAAAUAAAAUUUGCUUUUCACUCUAAAUUGUUUAUGACUGGUCCUCAAAAUCCUGCGGGGCCGACAGUCCGAUGUGAUCCAAAUCGCAAAAGUGUCCACAGUUCUUCCCGCAUCCUCCAAUCAUUUGUGGCAGCUUUGGGCUACUUUGUAGACUGCCAGCAACUUCCGAUUUGUGGACAAACCAGUGAAACGCUUACUCCAAUCAGCAGAUGUCCUGUUGUCAUCAUUCCCAAUAGGUGGAUUAUGAGCGAGAGACGGGCUUCACAGUGGCAGAGGGGUUAGUGCGUCUGCCUCACAGUACGAAGAUGCUGCAGUCCUGGGUUCAAUCCCAGGCUCGGGAUCUUUCUGUGUGGAGUUUGCAUGUUCUCCCCGUGACUGCGUGGGUUCCCUCCUGGUACUCCGGCUUCCUCCCACCUCCAAAGACAUGCACCUGGGGAUGGGCCCCUCCCACCUCCAAAGACAUGCAGCUGGGGAUAGGCCCCUCCCACCUCCAAAGACAUGCACCUGGGGAUAGGUUGAUUGGCAACACUAGUGUGUGAAUGUUGUCUGUCUGUGUUGGCCCUGCGUUAGGGUUAGGUUGCCCACAUAUGCGGUCCCCUCCAAGGUUUCUCAUAGUCACUGUCACCGACGUCCCACUGGGGUGAGUCUUUCCUUGCUCUUAUGUGGGUUCUGUAUCGCGGAUGUUGUUGUGGCUUGUGCAGCCCUUUGAGACACUUGUGAUUUAGGGCUAUAUGAAUAAACAUUGAUUGAUGUUUAGUGUAUGAAUAUUAAAUACACGUUUAGUGUAUGAAUAUUAAAGGAUUUUUUUUGUUUAUAAAUAUUAAAUACAUGUUUAAUUAAUGGAUAUUAAAUACUCU